rnacentral:rRNA from 1 species
GAUGAACGCUGGCGGCGUGCCUAACACAUGCAAGUCGAACGGGACACCUUUUAUUGAUGCUUCGGCAGAUUUAGCUGGUUUCUAGUGGCGGACGGGUGAGUAACGCGUGGGUAACCUGCCCUAUACAGGGGGAUAACAACCAGAGAUGGUUGCUAAUACCGCAUAAGCGUACAGGGCCGCAUGGUCCGGUGUGAAAAGGUCCGGUGGUAUAGGAUGGCCCCGCGUUGGAUUAGCCAGUUGGCAGGGUAACGGCCUACCAAGGCGACGAUCCAUAGCUGGCCUGAGAGGAUGAACAGCCACACUGGGACUGAGACACGGCCCAGACUCCUACGGGAGGCAGCAGUGGGGAAUAUUGCACAAUGGGGGAAACCCUGAUGCAGCGACGCCGCGUGAAUGAAGAAGUAUUUAGGGAUGUAAAGUUCUUUUAGCAGGGAAGAUAAUGACGGUACCUGAAGAAGAAGCCCCGGCUAACUACGUG